CAUUAUUAAAAAGGAAAGUAGGCAAUCUUUUAGCAACGAAUAUUGUCAACGCUUUUUGGUGUCCACAUAGGUGUUGCUCGACACCCCAAUAUAGGUGUUGAGGGUUUUAUUUUUUCCGCAUAUCCUUGACGCUUAAAAGCGUCGAGAAUAUUGUCAACGCUUUUUGGUGUCCACAUAACACGCCUACACAUAAGUACCGCAGUAGUUAGUUCUAUACCCGAUACCACGUUCGUUUCUCAGCAGUUAGUUCUCAAACACUCAAACCCUAUUCUUCUCAAUUCAUUCUUCAAUUCACUCUUCAACUGCUCGCCGUCGUCGUCUUCUUCAUCAGUCUUGAAACAAUUGCAAAGCUGCGAGAAAUUGAUGAAUUUGAUAACAAAAUUCUCUAAAUUUCAAUAAAAGUGUUGAGUACCGUAGAGAAAUUGCGAAGGGGAAGGAAUUGAACAAUUUGACAAGGAAAAUCAGGGCAAUUCAAUAAAAAAAGAUUAAUGUCUAGAAGAUUUGGCAGAUGUUAGAUUUUUAUAAUACAGGAUCGAUAAUAUUUACAAGGGGUAACACAUGGUCUUGGUUGCAGCAAGUAAUAAUGAGAAUGGUGAUCAACUGCAGAAUUCAUAGGGCAUUCUGCUAUUAUAUGCCUUCUGAAAUUUGGCAUUUUCUGAUGGGUAAGAUUAUCACUGCUUUCCUUUAGACAAUAAAAUAGAUGUCUGGACAUUAAUAUUUACGACUUCUUAUUUUCCUUUUUGUGGUGCUAAUGCCUUUUGGAAUUUAAGCUUCGUCAGGCAAACAUCUGAUGUUGGUUAUUGCUUGCACUAGGGCUUCACAGUUUUAGUUGUUUCCUUCUAAAUCCUAUCAUAGUGCUUCCUACUGUUGUCCAGCACUGAUAUUCUUUUAAUGAUUAGUGUUGAACAUUGGUGUCAUCCAUAGGUCAGAUACCUCAGCUCUAUUGCACUAGUUGAAGAAACUACUCCCUGUUUUCAUGGGAUUUAGGCUCUAAUAUUGUUGUUGUUGUUUAUAAUGUGAGCUAGAUUAAGGUCAUCUUGAGAAUACAUAUAAGUAUUGUUGGCUAAUUUUUUGUAAGAUUAAUUUCACUGCGGGAACCUGAAAUUAGAAUGUUGGAGAGUUCAAUUUAGAACUUACUGCACCACAAGGGCGUAAAUAAAUGGGAAAACUAAAGAUGGAUAAAGAGGUUUUCCUUGGUGUUUGAGAGCUUAUUACUUAUCUUUCGUAGUGGUAUGGCCUUUCUUGCCUUUAUUUUUCUUGUUACUUGAACCAUAUAUUUAUAGACAGUAGGAAUAACACAUGUACUCUUCAAGGAAUAUAAAACUUGCCUCAAGCUAAUAAUAGUCUUAGAUAGAAUAUAAUACAUGCCAAAAUAUGCCAAAGGUGGAACCUGCUGCCUGCCCCAGUUCUCAUAAUGGCAGUCUAUUUGAUGUUCUAAUCUGUAAAAAAGGAGGGACUAUAAUACUACCUUUGUUCGAAGUUAGUUUUUAUAUAGUUGAUUCAUAUUAGAUGAAGUGAAUAAACGAAAGUGUAAAUGAAAGAUAAAAAUGAUCACUAAUGGCUAUAAUUUACCUUGGAUAUUCACAUGAUAUUCAAGUAAAACUACACUCUAAUUUCGGGACCAUCCUUGAAUUUUUACAGUAUUACCGAAGAAGUUCAUAUGAAUGAAGAAGCGUGAACUGUUUACAAUAGAAAAUAACAUAAGCUGCAAAUACAUCCACAAAAAUCAAUAUUAUCUCAGAGAAUAAAGCAGAAUUUACUUGUACCUGUAAGCGACUAUAAACUUAAAUCAUAGUUGACAGUAGGCAAAUUCAGCAAACCAGAGAGAGUUAUUUCUUUGAAAAUACUGGAAUAAUUACAAGAUAAACAUGGCAUUCGAGAGGCCAAGACUAUCCCAAGCAACACUUAUCUGUAGUCAACCUAAGGGGAAGUCAGUAGAAAGUGGUAAUAGAAGAUUCACAUAAGGGGGGGGGAUAAACAUGGCAUUCGAGAGGCCAAGACUAUCCCAAGCAACACUUAUCUGUAGUCAACCUAAGGGGAAGUCAGUAGAAAGUGGUAAUAGAAGAUUCACAUAGGGGGGGGGGGCGUGCUUAUAAAAGAUUCACAUCAGGGGGGAGUCACCUGUUGCAGAAGUAAAGAAAACAAGGACAUAAUUAGAUACCACCCAAUAUUUCUCUUCCUAGUUCUUUUCUCCCCUCAAUUUCCCAAUAUUUCUUUCUUUAACAUACUAGAUACUACCCAUAUUAAUUUAAGGAUGCAGAAGAGAAUACUGUUGAUGCAGAAGAGAAUUUUCUGACAUGCUUGGCUGAUCUCUUUACUCAGGUAAAGACUAUAUAUUUUUCUCUUUCUUUUUUUCUUCUCUCUUUAUUUUGGCUGGGCAUUUUACAUUGUGUUCAACCUUGGUAAAACAUAUGAAGCUUUAUACAUUCAGCUUUUUGCUGUUUUGCUCAUUCAAACCAUGUUUUCUUUGUUUUGUUUCAAAAAUUGUUCUUUUAAUUUACAUGGAGGUGCGGUGCCAUUUCUGAAUGAGCUAGCGGUAGUAAGAUGGUAUGGGGAUUGGGGAGUGGAAGAGAAGUAUUUAGCUGUAUGUCUGGUCUACGCAUCAAUAGGCAUUACAAGAGUGCAUUUGGAGAUCAUGUACUAAUUUUCUAUAUUACUUGACAUAUUUACUUCCAAUUUGUUGUUAUUUGGACCUUUGUUCUUGCUUUGGUAACUCUUGUCAAUGUCCACUCAGGUUGUUAUACUUCUGCUAUAGUAAUAUUUGUAGAAAAUAUACCUUGUAUGAUGAUAGGCAAGCUAUAUGGCUUUUGUUUAUCUGCACAGGAUGCCCAUGAAUUCUUGAACCUGCAUCAUCCACACCGCAGCCCCCACACUCCCCCCAGUCUGCCCCGUCUAGCCCCUCACCUAACAACCUUUGUAUUUGAGAGAACAAGCUAACUCACCUAACAACCUCUGUUUCAUCUAGUAUUUACAUCCUCCACUUCGUACUAGUCUCCUACAGCUUUAUGAGCGUACUAGUCUCCUACAUUUUUCACUAAGUACUAGUCUUCUACAGGCUACACCUUCAUGGUGUUUAUGCCUUGUUGAAGCUUUUGGGCUUAGUAGUAAUUGUUGGGUGUUGCUGAUAUGGUGUUUCUCUAUCUUAAAAGAAUUAUCUUUCAUGUUGUGUCUCUCAAGUGAGUUUUUAUAAAUAUCUACUGUCUAGAUUUUAAUGUAAUACGCUGAUGUCUGCUUUGCUAGACGUUGCUACUAUUGGUUCCUUACUUUGCUUUAUCUUGUAGAAGGCACUAGAAUUUUAUCUUUGACAAUUGUGGUAGGUGGAGUAAAGAUGACUGCUGCUAUUGCCGGUGUUGUAUUGGUAGCGGUGCCACCAUCCCAAGGUGAUGUCUUCUAUUUUGGCAAGUACUAUAAAGGUUGCAUUUUUUUUGCCAGAGAUGUGAUAUUAACAGUGACAACUCUUCCAUAAGAUGAGACUACUUUUAAAGGUGGUUGCAGGUCCUGAACAAGCAAUGCGACCAUUAAUAAUGGAUAAAGUUAGGAUUUCUCACCCAUCCACUCAUUAUCUAAGUAUUUGUUUAUAUCAAUGUUAUUCAACUCAUUAUUUCGAUUUCAUUUUGAGUUCAUUGAAUUUGUUGGCUGAAGGUUUCUCAUAUUGUCAUUGAACAUAUAAUCUGAAGUUUCAAUUGAGUUCCUUGGAACACUAAAGUUUGUUUGCUUUUCUUUCAAAGAACAUAUAUGAAGUUUAUAUUUUUGUUUGUUUAUGUGAGCUGCACAGGGUUGCAUGUAAGUUUAUCUGUGAGUAUCCAUAACCUGUAAGGCGUGAUCUUGUGCUAUUGCUGUGAACAUGCAUUUUAUCGAUUUAAAACUAUUCUGUGUCAUUGAACGCUAAUCACUAUUCAUCAGCAUCUGUUGCAACAACAUGGUUUGCUUAUCUUCACAAAAUCACACAAAAUUAGGACAUACAAUUGAGUAGUUUUGUAGUUUCUAAACCUUCUGUAAAUUAUGAACAUUAUAUAUAAUGUUCGUCUUUCUUGUCUAAAUUAUUUUAUGCUCGUGUUACCUAUUUUUUGGGAUAUAUUACAUGUGCUAAUUAUAAUUUUGGUCUUAUUUUUCAUCUUUUGAAGGUACUCGAAAAUAAUAAUAAAAGUCCAACAGAUCAAGAACAAGAGGACACUACUUGAGGCUUCAAAUUGACUACCAUCAUUGUUUUGCUAGAUCUUAGUAUUAGUUAGUUUUGUAAGGCUACAACUACAUUUUUAGUGUGUUUUAAUUUUGUGGUAUUUUUAGUAACAUAUUAAUUAUGAAGUAUUAUUGAUGAACGUGUGUAGGAAUUUUAAUUGUGCGAACUACGUUUAUGAUUUAUGAUUACACAUAUAUACAUUAUUCGAAGUAUUUUUAUGUAA